rnacentral:rRNA from 1 species
ACUCCUACGGGAGGCAGCAGUGGGGAAUAUUGCACAAUGGGCGCAAGCCUGAUGCAGCGACGCCGCGUGGGGGAUGAAGGCCUUCGGGUUGUAAACUCCUUUCGCUAUCGACGAAGCCACUUGUGGUGACGGUAGGUAGAUAAGAAGCACCGGCUAACUACGUGCCAGCAGCCGCGGUAAUACGUAGGGUGCAAGCGUUGUCCGGAAUUACUGGGCGUAAAGAGCUCGUAGGUGGUUUGUCGCGUCGUCUGUGAAAUCCCGGGGCUUAACUUCGGGCGUGCAGGCGAUACGGGCAUAACUUGAGUGCUGUAGGGGAGACUGGAAUUCCUGGUGUAGCGGUGAAAUGCGCAGAUAUCAGGAGGAACACCGAUGGCGAAGGCAGGUCUCUGGGCAGUUACUGACGCUGAGGAGCGAAAGCAUGGGUAGCGAACAGGAUUAGAUACCCUGGUAGUCCAUGCCGUAAACGGUGGGC